CCAAAUGGCAAAAGUUGAAAAUCAUGUCCACGAAGAUCAAUGUUGCUACCAACAAAUCUUUCUGGUACAAACUUCUCGGGUUCUGGCCAAACUUCUGGAUCUCUACCGAUUGCCCAAGUAUUUACUAGAACUCUUGAACCUUUAGGUAUAUCAAAGCCAUCAAUUGUGCAAUCUUCAAUGGAUUCAUGAGGAAGCAAUGGUACAAUAGGGUGAAGCCUAAAACCUUCUUUAAUGACCAUGUCUAAGUACUCUAAUUUUUCCAAGUCUGAUUCUUCCACCAUUCUAUUUAAGCCAACAACUUCGUUCAACUCAUUUUGUAAUUUCUUCAUUACUUUUGGGUGCCUUAUAAGUUCAGAGAAAAUCCAGUCAAUUAUUGUUGAUGAGGUGUCUGUUGAAGCUAUUAGCAUGUCCUGCAUAGAGAAUAUAAGUUAUGUUAGUGAAAUUCUUCUUACACUUCAGUGAAUAUAAGUUAUACUAAACUAAAAUAGAGCCAAAAAGUAAAUGAAUAAUCACACUAUCAAGUUAAUUAUCUAAAGAUGUCUACGGGACCUGCUGGUAAAAAUCUUCAUAUACCAUCAGUAAAUAUCAGUUAAACUAUACUAAAAUGAACUUGAAAAUUUAUUCAUGUCAUGAUGAACAAAAUAUUACCAGCAUAAUAGCUUUGACAUUGCGACGAUCAAACUCAAACUCAGCUUCGCCAGAUUGCAUGAUAUUCAUCAUAGUAUCAACAAUAUCCUUUGUUUGCUUAUCCUCUUUGGAAUCUUGUACAUGUUCAUAAAUAACUUUCUCAAGAAAAUCAUCAAAUAUCUUUGCCAAUUCCUUCAUACGAUGAGUUAGACCUUGCAAAUCAAACACAUCAAGAAAUGGAAUAAAUUCACCCAUAUCUGGUGUUGCUGUUAAAAUCACAGUCUCUUCAAUCACAUCUUUAAAACCCCUUUCAUCAAAUUCAUCAUCCAUGUAUUUUUUCCCAAAUACCAUUAAACAAGUCAUGUUGGCAUUUAAUGAAGCAAGUUUAGCACUAAUAUCAACUUCAACACCACUGGAAGCUGCCCUAUUGAUAAAAGUCACAAAAUUUGCAACUUCUUGUUUUCUCAUGGCUUGAAAUGAAUUGAUCUUGACAGUACUAAGUAAUUCUAACGUGCAUAAUUUUCUCAUAUUUCGCCAAUAAGGUCCAUAUUUUGCAAACAACAGAUUUCUCUGAUUGUACGCGAUGUAUUGAGCAGUUUUAUUAUCUGGUCGACUCGCAAAAAUUACAUCAUGGUUUUUCAAGAAUUGUUCAGCAGCAUGAGGAGAUGAAGCAACAAUUAUAGGAACAACACCAAAUCUCAUGCUCAUUAUGGGACCAUAUCUUUUAGCUAUUUUAUGAAGAUCUUGGUGGACAUUUUUGCCAAUCAUAUGAAGAUUUCCUAUAAUUGGUAGCCCUUUUGGGCCGGGGGGAAGUUUUUUCUUUUCUUUCAUGAAUUUAUUGCGUAGUUCUUGAACAAUGUAUAGCACUACAAGUAGUGCAAGAACUUGUAAGAAUAUUGAAGCCAUGAAUAUAUGUAAAUUAUUGUUUUUUUGGCUUCCUAACUUGCGAUUAUUUAUAAGGAAGUCAUGUGGCAAGUGAAUUUUACGGGCUCUUUUGUUGAUUAAUUUUUGGCAUCCAUUUUCCAAUUAUAUUCAACCAAAAAAUAUUCCCCUCUUCUAUUCAAAAAUGGCUGCUACUUCCCUUUACCCUUAGUCAUUAAAACUAAAUUGACUGUGGGACAAUAACUGAUUGAAGCUAAUAGAACAAGAAAAACAAAAUUAAAAAGGCAUUUAAAGUUGGAAUUCAAAUUGAGUACAUAUUUCGUUUCAAAUUCUGAUUAAAAUUUAGUACAAAGGUUCUUAUUUAAGCUAAGACAUUCCUUAACAAGUUUGGUUUAAGCAUUAGAAAGAAAUUCUUAAGGAAUUAUGUAACAAAACUAACAUAGUUAUUACAAUGUUUGGUAGCCUUAUAGUUGCUUUUUAGUAUUAUUAUAUUUGAUUAUCAUUUUACAAUCCUAUAUAAAUGAUACAGAUAAUUAUUAUGAGUCAACUUAGGUAUUAUUCUAUAUGAAGGGAAAACGAAAUAACAAUACAGAAAUUAAUAAUACAUGCAUAAAAUGAAUAUACUAAUAAUAUUAAAUGACAAAUUUAUCCUCUUAUCACCCCCACACUUAUAGGAGAUUAGACAGAUGUUGUGGACUUCGUGGGUAUUUGGCUUAGCUUUUACGUUGGUCAAAAUAAUUUAUAAGUUAUUUUUUGCUUAAAAAAGUGUUUGAUAAAUUUAUAAGUGCUUAAAAGAAGUUAAUUUUGGCUUUUUUUAAGCCAAAAAUAAGAAGCUAGCAUUUCUAGCUUUUUUUGGGAAGAGUAUAAGCUAUUAGAAUUGACCAAGUAAAUUACAUUUGUAUCCCUCAUAAUUAUUCCUUAUUCCAACUUUACCCUUGUACGCUAAUUCUCCUUCACUAAUACUCAAUACACUUCACUGCACACUUUUAUUUGUUGUUGGAGCAAAGUUGAAUUUUGCUUUGUUGUUCUUCUCCGUUGAAUAGUCAUACCAUAAUUGUAUAAUGAGUUUAUUUAUUUUUUUACAGCAAAAAUGAAAAGAGGUGAUAUUGUUGUUUGUAGAUCUGGGUACUCUUUAAAAAAAAGUUAUAUAUUAAAGUACUAAAAAUUUUAUUUAAAUUAAUUAGAAAAUGAAGUGUCGUCACAAAUUGCAUCUUAAUGAUACGAAAUUUUAACAUAACCAUGAAGAAACAAAUAAUCUUUUAAUAAAUAACUAUCUUUUUCAAACACAAACAUUUAAUACUUAAACUCUUAAAAAAAAUAGUUUUUUAGCAAAUAAAUUAAUAUAUAUAUAUAUAUAUAUAUAUAUAUAUAUGAUAAAGUACUAAAAAAGUUUAUUUAAAUUAAUAAGAAAAUGAAGUGCUGUCACAAAUUGCACCUUAAUGAUACGAAAUUUUAACAUAACCAUGAAGAAAUAAAUAAUCUUUUUAUAUAUAACUAUCUUUUUCAAACACAAACAUUCAAUACUUAAACUCUUACAAAAAUAAUUUUUUAGCUCACAAAUUAAUAAGCAUUCAUGAAAAUAUUAUAUAUAAAUAUAUAUAUAUAUAUAUAUAUAUAUAUAUAUACGUAUAUAUUAAUUUUAAUUUGAAUCAUUUUAGCAAUAAAAAUUAAUAAUAAUCAACCCUAUAUAUUACUAACAACUAUAAGGGUAUUUCAGACAUUUCGACAAAAAAGUGCUUAAAAACAUUAUUUACCAAACACAUCAAUAACUUUUUUUCAGUUUUAACAUUUUUAUCCAAAUACUUAACUGCUUAUUUUUAAAAUAAGUUCAGCACUUUCAAAAUCAUUUUUAAAGAACUUUUUUUCAGCUUAUCUAAACGGACUCUUUCAAAAUCAUUUUUAAAGAACUUUUUUUCAGCAUAUCUAAAUGGACUCUUUGUAGUGAUGCUAGACAAUUUUAUUGAUUUUAAUAAAAAAAACAAGACAAGCGUCGAAUUGUCAAUGGCACAGACGUGUCAUUAAUAAGGCCAAAAACUUCAUGGGAAAAAUCAUGGUUUUGAUGCAGUAGGGAUCACAGAAGAUUGUCCGUACGGGUAUAGUUGGAAAGGGAGUCUUGAAGUAAUUGGUAAAAUUACUGUCAUAUGAUCAAGACUAGGGAUGACGAAAGAGGGUCCGGAUAUAGUUGAAAGGGGAGUUUUAGAGUAAUUGAUAAAGUUAUUUUCAUGUGAUCAGAAGGUCACAGGUUGAAGUCAGAAAAUUGCCUUUUGUAGAAAUUCAAGGUAACGUUGGCUAGUGACGUACACAGAAUUAUCAAUAAGCGCCCCCUUAUAUGUAUAAGAAAAUGGAUAAAAACUUAACAGUCAUUUAAGUAUAGUCGUCUUUUAAGCUAAAAGUGGUCUUGAUUCAUUCCAAUAAAUAGUGUUAUUAUGUAUAAUAUAUGAAAGUUGAAAUCAAGUUAAAGGCACAUUUAUGUAGGUUGAUUUACAGCCACACGUUGAGUUUUAUUGAUUCAUUAAUAUCAAUUAAUUUAACUAUAGUUUGUCUAUCAUUACUUGCUAUUGCUCCUUUGUCACAAUUUUUCUAGAAGAGGUACACUUUUUGUCCACCUCCAUUGGGCUAAACACAUACAUCUAUCGACCUAGUAGUAUUGCCUAUCCAUUCCAUUGAAUGUUUUCUAAUUUUUGUUUUAUUUUCAGUUGAUCAAAAGUUUUGAAAAAUAAUUUUUUCUACGAAAAUAAGUUUCUUGAAAAUGAGAAAAGUAUCUUCUUAUUAAAGUACAAAAAACAAGUUACUCAAGUUCUUCCUACUCUUUAAUACACCUUAUUUUCACCUCCACCCCCGUCCCCACCACUGCCCCACAACCUAGCCCGUAUCCUUCACCUCUUAGAGUAUUUGUUUAGAUUAUAUAUAAUUUCUUUUAUGAUACGCAAUAUUUUUUUCUUAUAUAUCGAACACACAAAAAUAAUAAGAUCACUUAUUUUUUCAAAAAAUAUUUUCCUUCAUAACGGACACACCCUAACACAUUUAACAAAGGGAGUAAAUGUAAUGACUCUCUAGGUUAUUUUCUUGAUUUACGCACAUUUUUGGUGUUUCAACCCUUCCCACAGUGUCUAGCCGGCUAUAGGUCAGUAAUGAUUUGCCGGAGAACUAUUGGUGCGGUCAUUGGGCAGUCAUUUAAGUUUUAGGCUCAUUUUACUAUUUUGGAACUAUCAUCAUUAAGAAAUUGAUCUUGUACCAAAACUUCUAUUAGAAGACCUCGGAUGAGAAUUCCGACAACUCCAUCAGCUAUGGAACAUUGAUUUUGGGCUAGGGCGAUCAUGGGUUCAGGUCCCAAGGCGUGCAGACUCGUUUUGGCUAUUGGUUGGAUUUUAUGAAAAAUGAGACUAUAUGUAGUCAAAAAUAAUCUCGAAUGAAAGUUUCGAUGGUUUCAUUAAGAGUUAAAUGCCGAAUUUGGUAUGGUAGCGUAGUUCGUUUACGUGCACGGAGUUCCGAAAGAAUCCGAAGUACACGGUUGGAGUCCAUUUUGGACUUAGAAAAUCUGUUGCAUCAAAUUGCUAGUGCAACUGCUUAAACGGUUCUUUUACUGCUUAAGAGGUAUUUGCUUUAGUGACAUUGGGUCGAUUUAGCGGCUUUGGCUACUAGGCCGAAGAUCGCUUAAGAGAUCAAUGUCCUCUUUAGCGGACAUCGCUUUAGCGGCGCCGCAUCUCCGUACAAAUGAAAUAAUUUCUAAUGAAACUAUAGGUGUGGGGCCUCUAUGUAGUCAAAAGUAAUCUCAAAUGAAAGUUUCAGUGAUUUCAUUAAGAUUGAAAUAUUGAAUUUGGUAUGAUAGCAUAGUUCAUUUGCGCGCACGAAAUUUCGAACGAAUUCCAAGCACAUGGUUGGAGUCCAUUUUGGACUUAAGAAAUUUAUUACCUCAGGUUGCUGGUACAACCGCUUAAGCAAUUUUCUUAAUGCUUAAGAGGUAUUUGCCUUAGCAACACAGGAUCGCUUUAGCAGUCUUGGCUACUUCGCUGAGGACCGCUUAAGCGAUCAAUGUCUGCGUUAGCGAACACCAUUUUAGCGGUGAAGGUAACAUUUUAGCGAUGCCCGCAUCUCCGUACCCGACCGCUUUAGUAGCAGUCGCUUAAGCGACUACGUGACCGCUUUAGCGGCAUCUAGGGAUUGAUAAUUCUCCUUUCUUCAUCCAAUUUUUUCCUCAUUUUCUCCACCAUUUUCAACCACUUUAGGAGCAUGGGACCUGAGGAAGUGCGGGAAAUCAUCCAUUGAAGCUAAGGUAAGAAAGGCUAACACUCCGUCAUCAUUUUUUAUUAUUUUUUCAUCAAAUCUCAUCCUAUUUCAUUGUAAAUUAAAAUUCUUGAAAAGUAGGUCUUUAAAUCCUUGGACGUUAGGGGUCGAUUGGAACCCCAAUUUGCGUCCCAUUUGUGCUCAACUUUUGAGCAUACAUUCCUUGUCCUUCAAAGGACCUUGUGAUGGAUUUAAUUUUGGAUUAUGCUUACGGGCUCAGCAGGCACGUUCUUGAUCUGAAUUUUGAAUCGAUCUUUUAUAUAGUAAUAUGGGUUUUGUUUUGAUCCUAUUGACGUGUAGAAUAUUAUUUAGAUAGCAUAUCAGCAUUUUGAGAUCAUAGAGAAAAGACGAGCGAUUUAUGGAUGACUUAAGAUUUGUGGUUCGGCAUCGAGGUAGGCUUCAGUCUACUUUUCUUCAUAAGAUGAUGUGCAGUGUAGAUUGCAUGCUAGGUGGGUAUGAUAGGACAUGUUUAUGAUUUCAUAUCAUGACUUUUCCUAAUUUAGGAGUUUGGGGAUAGAAGGGAGAAACAACCCUUAAGAUGGAAUACUUGCUAUAAUUCCAGAAUCCUAUCACUAUAGAUCAUAAGAAGUUUUUGGAGACUUUCGGUGGAUGUUAGCUCAUGAUUCGGGGGUAGCUCCAGGGCCCGAGCUCGAUUUUGGACCUAAAUCGCCUGGCGGGUUGUAGAAUGGAUCUAGUUGUUUUGAUGGGGCCGGUGGAUCUAUUUUUCAAGUCAAACGAGUAAAAUAGUACGAGUAGAACAUUUUAGCUACUUUCGGUGGGUGUUAUCCCAUGAAAUUCAAGAGGGGAAGGGUGAAUUGAAAUUUUUCUAUGAGUAGACUAUUGACUCAGCACAGUCGACUCACCUGUAAAACAGUGCACUUCACAAAGUAGAUUAGAUUUUAAAAAUAUUAAACACAUAAACAACAGAACGUAAAGUAAUAACACAAAGAUCUAUCCUGAUUCGGAACACCAAUGUGGUGUCUACUUCCAAUCCCCUUGGGUUUCAAAGUUUUCUUAGACCGUUCAGUGUCGGGCUCAAGUACGAUAAUAGGAAACAAGUUCUAAAGACUUAUUUUUCUCUUCAGAUCUUGUGACACAACUUCAGUUGAUGUUACAAAGUUAACUCGAUCCUACUCUUUAUAUAACAAUUAUAAGCUAAAAGUUACAAAGCCUUGUGAGAAUAAAUUGAGACACUUUGAUUUUUCUCCUGAAGUUGUGUAACCCGUGUAUGUCCUUAGUCUUCAUCUUUUAUAGUCUUCGGCUGCUACUCUUCAUAAAAAAACCAAAGAGAUUUAUUCUCAAUCAAGGAUUUGAAUUGAUUUCUUGAUUGAGGUAUGUAGCCAUGUGUUAUGUCCAUAUACGGCUUUAGAUCACGUUCAUAUCAGAUAUGUCCAUGAUCUAUCUUUCCUUUUGGUCUUGUAUAGAUUAAUGCUUUUCAAAUAUUCUUGUGAUGUUUUCUACUUUUAUUUUAGUCAUUGUUGAUCUGAUUUGUCGAGACUUUGGGGCCAAAGAUUCUUCAUGGAUGGUUUGAUUUAUCGAGACUUAUAAAAUUGAGAUUUUUCUUUCGUUUGCUCUCAUUUUGAUUGAUUUUCUUUGAUGCCGCGAAUUAUGAGUUGGUGUCCUUCCAUUCUCAGAGCAUGACGAUUUGAUUUACCGAGACAUAUGAUAUUGAGAUUCUCCUGCAAAGAUCUACUUGUUAGUUUGUCAUUAUUAAAACAUAGUCUUCGGAGUCUAACAAUCUCCCCCUUUUUGAUAAUGACAAACAAGAUUAAACAUCAGUUGACUUUCCUAUCUGUCAGCUUGCUACACCUGACUUGUUUGCUCACCCUGACUGGUAGGCUACUAGGAUGUUUCUACUUUCUCCCCCUUUGACAUAAUUAAAAAGAAACAACACACAAGCAACUUGCAGACAAAGAAAUCCACACAUAGAAAUUCACAUAGAAAAAAGAGCUUAAAGAUCAUUAACGCUAAGAAUACCAAGUCUUCUUCUAGGGGAAUAAAAUCUUUCUUCUAGUAGGGGUUUUGUGAAAAUGUAUGCUAGUUAAUUUUCAGAGUCAAUAAAUUUUAGAGUAAAAUCACCAUUUUUUAUAUGAUCUUGAAUAAAAUGAUGCUUAAUGUCAAUAUGUUUAGCCCUAGAAUGAUGCACAAUAUACUUAAAUAAGCUAAUAGCACUUGUGCUAUCACACAUAAUAGGAGCAAAUUCAAAAGAUAAGUCAAAAUCAAGACGUUUAUGCACAAUCCAUAAGAUUUGAGUGCCACAACUUCUGACAGCUAUGUAUUCAGCUUCAAUGGUUGAGAGAGCAACUAAAGUUUGCUUCUUGCUAUGCCAUGAGAUAAGGGCAUCACCAAGAAUCAGACAUAUUCCAUUAGUGCUUAUUCUAUCAUUUUUAUCUCCUGCAAAAUUAGCAUCUGAACAACCAACUAGAUCAAAAUGUGAGGAGCAGGGAUACCAUAGACCAAAGUCUUGAGUUUCUAUAAGGUCUCGGAUGAAUCGUUUGCCAUCAGUUAGAUGAGAAUCCUUGGAAGUCGACUGGAAACUAGCAUAUUUACACACACUAAACAUAAUGUCUGGUCGACUUGCAGUCAGGUAGAGUAAAGAUCUGAUUCCUCUGUACAUUUUUUCAUCAAUGUCUUUUCUAGAUAAGUCUAAAUCAAUGCUUGUGGAUGGGCUCAUAGGUGUUCCAUGUGCCUUCCCUUUUUCCAUACCGAACUUUUUGGUGAGUUUUUUCGUGUACUUGGCUUGUCUGAUGAAAGUGCCUUAAAGAGUUUGUUUGAUUUGUAAUCCCAUAAAGAAUAUGACUCACCCAUAAGACUCAUUUCGAAUUCUCCUUUCAUCAAAUUAGCAAAAUUCUCGCACAUAGAGAUGUUAGAACUACCAAAAAUUAUAUCAUCAAUGUAAAUUUGCACAAUGAGAAGAUUUGAAUCAAAUUUUUAUAUGAACAAAGUUGUAUCAAUUUUACCCCUUUGAAAAUUGUUGUUUAUUAAAAAAGUACUCAAUCUCUCAUACCAAGCUUUUGGAGUUUGUUUGAGGCCGUAAAGUGCUUUGAUAAUUUGAAAACAUGAUUUGGAUAUGAUGAAUCUUUAAAUCCGGGGGGUUGUUUUACAAAAACUUACUCAUGAAUAUAGCUAUUUAAGAAAGCACUUUUUAUGUCCAUUUGAUAUAACUUAAAAAUAUUUGAACGCGACAAACGCUAAUAGAAUACAUAUUGACUCUAACCUUGCUACAGGGAAAAAGGUUUCGUCAUAAUCAAUACCUUCCUGUUGGGAGUAGCCUUGAGCUAUAAGUUUGGCUUUGUUUAUGAUGAAUUUACCUUCCUCAUCUAAUUUAUUUCUGUAGACCCAUCUGGUUCCAAUUACUGAGUAAUUUUUGGGUCUUUCAACUAGAGUCUAAACUUGUUUUCAUUCAAACUGAUCCAGUUCUUCCUUCAUAGAUUCAACCCAUAAUUCAUCUUUGAGUGCCUCAUCAGUUUUCUUGGAUUCAACUUGAGAAGCAAAGGCAACAACUGCAUGUCUCCUCAAUAAUGCUCUUGUUUGCACUCUAUCCUCUGGAUUUUCAAUGAUGAGUUCGUUUAGAUGAGUACCAUUGUGCUUCCAUUCUUUUGAAAUAUUUGGCUUUACAUCUUCUUCUUUAAUAGUCUGCUCUUAGGAAGGGGUUAUGGACUUGUCUUGAGAUGGCUCAGGAUUUGAGCUGUUACUUUCCUUGGAUUGAAGAUUACCCAUCGGUUCUUUAUCAUCACUCAAACUCGUAGAGAAGUGAUUAGAUUCAUCAAUUACAGAAUGCAUUAAUUCCUCAACACACAAAGUUCUUUUAUUAAAGUCCCUAUAGGCACGAUUUGUAGGAGAGUUCCUAAGAAAUAUACCUUCAUCACUUUGAGGAUCAAAUUUUCUCAAGCUAUUCUUACCAUUAUUGUGAAUAAAGCAUUUGCAGCCGAAUGGAUGGAAAUAACUUAUGUUGGGCUUCUUUCCUCUCCAGAGUUCAUAGGGUGUUUUCUUUAGAAUAGAUCGGAUUAGGCACCUAUUAAUAAUGUGACGUGCGGUGCUUACUGCUUCUGCGCAAAACUAAUCUAGGAGAUUAUGUUCUAACAAUAUUGUCCUAGCAGUUUUCUGGAAAGACCAAUUCUUCAGCUUCACUAAACCAUUUUGCUAAGGGGUUCGAGGUGAAGAAAAGUUCUGAGAGUAUCCAUUCUGAGUACAAAACUCUUCAAAUGCCUUAUUUUCAAAUUCUCCUCCAUGAUCACUAUGAACAUAAGUGAUGAGAUGUCCAACUUCUCUCUGUACCUUUCUAUAAAAAAUCUCAAAAUUUGUUUAAGGCUCAUGUUUAUGAGUAAGGAACAUUACCCAAGUAAAACAUGAGUAAUCAUCAACUAUGACAAAAACAUAUUUCUUUCCACUAAGGCUUGUGGUUUUGGUGGGACCAAAUAGAUCCAUAUGGAUUGUUUGAAGUGGUUUGGUAGUGGAGACGAUGUCUUUGACUUUGAAUGAUGUCUAGGUCUGCUUCCCUAAUUGACAAGCAUCACAUAUGUGAUCCUUCUGAAACUUGAGUUUUGGUAGACCUUUCACCGAUUCAAGUCUGGACAACUUCUCAAUGACAUGCAUGCUAGCAUGCCCGAACUUUCUAUGCCAUAAAAAAGUAUUAUUGGAUUGAAUAGUGAGGCAAGUUAAUGUGGUAAAAUCAGGACUAUCUAAAAUAUAAGUGUUUUCAACAUAUUCACCGAUGAGAGAGAUGUUUCUUUUUUCGUGCUUAAUUGAGCAAUUUUUGGCUUUGAAGAGUACUUCAAAUCCGGCAUCACAGAGCUGACUGAUGCUAAGAAUAUUGUGUUUAAGGCCGUCUACUAGAUAUACUUCCAUGAAAUCUCAUGAUGAGAUGAGUUUUACUGGGGAAACUCCGAUAAUGUUGCCUCUAGUAUUGUCACCAAACUUUACUAAACCCCUAUUUAUUUUCUCUAGAGCAGAAAUUUUUUUUUCUUUCCGAUCAUGUGUCUGGAACAUCCUCUAUCAAUGAACCACAUUUCUUUCUUAUAGCUCUUGCAGACUUCUUUUUGCAGCACAAAAAGAUCAAUUUUAUUUAGGUACCCAAGUGGUCUUGGGUUAUUGUGGGUUAGAUGUGUUUCCUUUAGGCCACCAAACUCAUACACUUUUAGGCGUAUGCCUGCAGCUGUACUAUUUGUGCCCUCACUAUCCACAUGUAAAAUAGACAGGUCCUCGAGAAGAAAAGGAGAUGUUAGCUGAUUUAAACGAUUCUGAUGAGGGACUAAAUUUGUUUUGAAACGAGUUGGAUUUUACAAAACCGUGACUUGGAGUUUUCUUGAUAUUGUUUAGUUUUAUUUUCACAUCAUCAAUCUCUUUAUGAAUCAAGUCAAUUUUAAUUUGACAUACUUCGAUUUCUAUUUGAUGACUUCUUAGUUCCUACUCUAGUUUUCGUUUAAAUCAUGCUUCACAACCUUUCUUCUCUUGAGCAAUCUUAUUAUAUUCAUCUAUAAAUUUUUUAAGCUCGCCGUCUAUCAUACAUAAAUUAGAUUCAAGGGUAUUACAGUUUUGAUAGUUGUGAGAUCUUACCUCGCUAGGUUCACCUGUUGCCAUGAAGCACAUAUUGGCUGCUUCUACUUAUUCUUCAGUUUCAUCUCUAUCACUCCAGAAUUCAAAGUUAUGAUUCUUUCUAGAUGGUCUUUGUCUUAACUCUGGAUAGUUUUGUUUGAAGUAGACGGGACUUCCACAAUGAUAAUAACGAUCAUCAUUUCUAGUGGGGUCAUUAUGUUUGGUUCCUUGGGAUAUUUGUUGUCUCUGUCUCAUGAUCUAUCUUACUCCCACUGAUUGAUGAGGGCCAUCCCUUCGCUAUUAGUAUCUUUCAGAGUGUCCACUUCUUUGGUUGGGGCAGCAUUAAAGGCCACUGGUUUCUUCUUCUCCUUUUGGUACCUAUUAAUAUAAUUUUUUUCUUAAGCGAUAAGGUUACCUCAUAGUUCGUCAUAUAUCAUAUUGUGAAGAUCUCCGUCUUCCAGAAUGGCAACUUUGGUUUCCCAAAUCUUUGGGAAACUUUGGACCAACUUCUGGACUUGCAGGCUGUAUGGAUAGAUCAUGCCUAGUGAUUUCAGUUCACAUACAAUCUUACUGAAUUUGGCAAACAUUGUUUCAAUGUCCUCAUUCUUUUUCAUUUUGAACAGCUCGUAUUCAUUGACCAGGGCAGUAACUUUUGACUUCUUGACUUUGGUGGUUCCUUCAUAGGUUACCUCCGAUUUGUCCUAUAUUUUUUUUGUGGUUUCACAAGUUGAUAUCUUGUAAUAUUCUUCCCCGCUAACUGCACACAAAAGUAAACUUAUAGCAUGUGCAUUAGUUUGAAUUACCUCUUGCUUUUCUUUGGUGACCUCAAAUUUUUCAAGGUUUUUUAUGUCAGAACUGCUAGAUUCUUUGUCUUUGUCCUUUGAUUUUUCUUCAAGUCCUGGAAUCGAUUUUAGACUCUUCUUGAUGACAACCCAGUCUUGGAAAUCAUUUGAUAGGAUAAAGAUUCUGAACCUAUUCUUCCAGUAAGAGUAAUGUUGUCUGUUAAAGUAUGGUGGUCUUGUGGAGAAAUGACCAUCCUUAAGAAGAGCACCGGGAAUGUGAUAAUUUUCCAGUUAAUCUUUGCUCACUUGCGGUUAUGCAAUGCUGUUGGUGAGACUGGCUCUGAUACUAAUUGAAAUUCAAGAGGGAGGUAAAUCAAAUUUUUCUGUGAGUCAACUACUGACUCCGUACGGUCGACUCGCCUGCAGAAAAAUGCACUUCACAAAGAAGAUUAGAUUUUAAAAAGAUUAAGCAAAUAAAUAACAGAAUAUAAAGUAAUAACACAAAUAUUUAUCCUAGUUUGGAACACCAAUGUGGAACCUACUUCCAGUCCCCUUGGGUUUCAAAGUUUCCUUAGAUCUUUCAAUGUCGGGCUUGAGUACAAUGAUAGGAAACAAGUUUUAAUGACUUAUUUUGCUCUUCAGAUCUUAUGCCACAGCUUCAGUUGAUGUUACAAAAUUAACUCGAUUCUACUCUUUAUAUAACAAUUGUAAGCUAAAAGUUACAAAGCCUUGUGAGACUAAGAUUGAGACACUUUGAUUUUUCUCCUCAAAGUUUCAUAACCCAUGUUUGUCCUAAGUCUUCAUCUUUUAUAGUCUUCGGGUGCUACUCGUCAUAAGGAUAUCCAAAAUAUUUAUUCUCAAUAAAGAAUUUGAAUUGAUUCCUUGAUUGAGGUAUGUAGCCGUGUGAUAUGUCUAUAUACGGCUUUGGAUCACGUCCAUAUCAGAUAUGUCUGUGAGCUAUCUUUUCUUUUAGUCUUAUAAAGAUUGAUGCUUUCCAAAUAUGUUUGUGAUCUUUUCUUCUUUUACUUUAGUUAUUAUUGAUUAGAUUUGUUGAGACUUUUUGGCCAGAGAUUCUUCAUGACUGGUUUGAUUUACCGAGACUUAUAGGAUUGAGAUUUUCAUUUUGUUUUCUCUCAUUCUGAUUGAUUUUCUUUGAUGUCGCGGAUCAUAAGUUGGUAUCCUUCCAUUCUUGGAGCAUGACUGAUUUGAUUUACUGAGUCAUAUGGGAUUAAGAUUCUCCCCUGCAGAGAUCUACUUGUUAGUUUUCAUUAUUAAAACAUAGUCUUCGGAGGCUAACAACCCACAAUUCGAGGAAUGAGCCUAGUGCUCGGGCCGACAAAAAUUGCCCUGUUAUCUGUCGAUGAAAAGUUGAGUGGAUCUAGGUGGUUCGGCAUUACCAAUGAAAAUAUUUUCCAAGUCAAACAGGUGAAACAACCCGAACCACCCCUUUUUGGCUAAUCUCGAUAGGUGUUAGCCCUUAGUUCAGGGGGUGAGCCCACGGAUCAGACCUGAUUUAAGGCAAAAAUUAUCGGGCGAUUGCCCGAUGGGCUAUUGAGUGAAUCUAGGUGGUUCAACGAGAUUGGUGGAGUCAUUUUCCUAGUCAAAUAGGCAAAACAGGGUACACCGUCCUUUUUUGGCGACUUUUUGUGGGUGUUACCCUACAUUUUGGGAGGUGGGAUCGGGUCUCCAACCUUAUUUUGGCAAAAAUUGUCUGGUAGCCCCCGAGUGGAUCUGGGUGGUUCAGUUGGGCCGGUGGAGCCAUAUUUCAAGUGAAACGGUUGAAACAGCAUGAACCAGCUAUUUUUAUUGAGACAGCUCAAAUGACAAAUAUCCAAAAGAUACUGCAGAAAUAUUGAAAGUGAGAACUAGAAUAGACUGAAGAAGGGGAUAAGAAGCUAGACUCAAAUGAAAGUUAGAUGAAAGAUAUAUAGGUUUUGCUUAGGCAUAACCAUACUAUACAUAGCCUACUCUACGCACUUUCCAACCCUUAUGACAAACAAUAUUUCACCUUGUCUAGUGACUCUAUGACAUGUGUCUCUCAGUCAAGGUCCCAAUGAUGGUCCAAAACUUAUCAUUUGGGCCCAUAUAAUCCCCAUGUUUUGUUGCAAGAAUAUUCUUAAAAUUGGAAGUGCUUAGUAAGAAGUCUAUUGCUUCAAGUUGGCUUUGAUGAGCAGCAAUAUGCAAAGAAGCCCGUUCUUGAGAAGUUGACAUGACUUGAGCCUUCCUUAGUGAAACAAAAAACUGUAGAAUUUUGAAUGUAUACCAAUGUGUAGAUCGAUUUACGAGUUAAUCCCUCACCCGGUAUUUAUUAUAUUCAUGUUUAGAUCAAUAACUAAUUUGAUUAUCAGUGACGAAAUUAGAAAUUUCACUAAGGAUGUUCAUGAAUUAAUAUAUAUGUAUAAGACGAUUUGUGACCAAUGUGCUUAGCUUCCUAUAAUUUGAAGUCAUAUCUUCUACCAAGAAAUUUAUUGAGGAAGUAGAAGCUCUUUUGAAAGAAGCUAUUAAGAAACAAACGGACCAUUUUAUAGUUGAGGAACAAACAUAAAGAAAUAUUGGUCACUUGUCUCUUAAUCAUAGUAGAAAAGAAAUUAAGCAUCUUAGAUUCAAAUAUUCAAACAUUCAAACAGUCCUUCUCUUAAUGGUGGCCACCUCCACCGUACGUGGCUACGCCACUCACUAGAGUAGUUGGACUAGUCCUAAAUUUAGACUCCUCUGAGGCAAUCCAAAGUAAGAAAUUCAUAUGUUCUUUUAUGUAAAUGGGUCAGACUUGCAUCUGGGCCAACCGAAGCUGCCAGUUAGUACCCCAAACAAACUCAUGUCACAUAAGUCAUCCCUUCAGACUGGAUUCCUUUAAAAAAAAAUUAAAAAUUUAGAGUAUAGUUUUUUGAAUUGAAACAUUAAACAGUGAUAAUACAUCACUAUGUCAAUACACCUUGUAACAUGAUUAUUAUGUAUAAAUAUUAUAUAAUGUUUAUAAAGAUUGAAUAAUAUAGUUACUAGGCAUUGAAGAACAUUCACAUACACAAGACACACAGCGCACGGUCCUCUAUUCCCCGAGUUUAGCCCAUUUUAAUCCCAUCAAAUCGACUAAGCCAUAAUCAUUUUUGGUUGGAUCUGGCUUAACUCAGCGCUAUUCAACCUGUUCAUUUGAUAUCCCUAAUAUAUUUUCCAACCGAUGAGUAGGAAUAGCCCUUAGGUGUUGAGCUCUAGCCAUCACUAAACCAAAUUUCUCAGUCAUGUCUAAAUCAUUUGGCUUCAUAUCAUUUGGUAGUUCCCAAUCAAAACAAUGAACCAAUUGCGCUAGCACCAGACGAACGAUUGUGAGCCCUAAUUGCAAACCAAGGCAACUUCUUCUCCCAGAACCAAAUGGUAAAAGUUGAAAAUCACGUCCACGAAGAUCGAUAUUGCUACCAACAAACCGUUCUGGCAUGAAUUUCUCGGGUUCUGGCCAAAUUUCUGGAUCUCUUCCAAUUGCCCAAGUAUUUACUAGAAUUCUUGUACCUUUAGGUAUAUCAAAGCCAUCAAUUGUGCAAUCUUCAAUGGACUCAUGAGGAACCAAUAAUGGUGCAAUAGGGUGAAUCCUAAAACCUUCUUUAAUGACCAUGUCUAAGUACACUAAUUUUUCCAAGUCUGAUUCUUCCACCAUUCUGUUCAUGCCAACAACUUCGUUCAACUCAUUUUGUAAUUUCUUCAUUACUUUUGGGUGUCUUAUAAGUUCAGAGAAAAUCCAGUCAAUUGCUGUUGAUGAGGUGUCCAUUGAAGCUAUUAGCAAGUCCUGCAUAAUAAGAUUUCUAAUCAUAAAUAUAAGACAAAAUUGCCUGCUAUAAUAGGUAACAUGACUUAUGUUAGUGAAAUUUUUCUUACACUUCAGCGAAUAUAAGUUAUACUCAAUUAAAUAUAUAGACCCAUAGAGUAAAUGAAUAAUUACACUAUCAAGUUAUCCAAAGAUGUCAACAUGACCUGCUAGUGAAAGUCAUGAUAUACCAUCAGUAAAUAUCAGUUAAACUGUACUAAAAUGGCGAGCAAAAUAUUACCAGCAUAAUAGCUUUGACAUUGCGACGAUCAAACUCAAACUCAGCUUUUCCAGAUUGCAUGAUAUUCAUCAUAGUAUCUACGAUAUCCUUUGUUUGCUUCUCCUCUUUGGAAUCAUGAACAUGUUCAUCAAUAACUCUCUCAAAAAAAUCAUCAAAAAUCUUUGCCAAUUUCUUCAUACGACGAGUUAGUCCUUGCAAAUCAAACACGUCAAGAAAUGGAAUAAAUUCACCUAUAUUUGGUGUUGCUGCUAGAAUCAAAGUCUCUUGAAUCACAUCUUUAAAACCCCUUUCAUCAAAUUCAUCAUCCACGUAUUUUUUCCCAAAUACCAUUAAACAAGCCAUGUUGGCAUUUAGUGAAGCAAGUUUAGCACUAACAUCAACUUCAACACCAUUAGAAGCUGCCUGAUUGAUAAAAGUCACAAAAUUUGUAACUUCUUGUUUUCUCAUAGCUUGAAAUGAAUUAAUCUUGAGAGUACUGAGCAAUUCUAAUGUACACAAUUUUCGUAUAUUUCGCCAAUAAGGUCCGUAUUUACCAAACGUGAUAUUUCUCUGAUUGUACGCGAUGAAUUGAGCAGCUUUAUUAUCUGGACGACUCGCAAAAACAAGAUCAUGGUUUUUCAAGAAUUGUUCAGCAGCAUGAGGAGAUGAAGCAACAAUUAUAGGAACAACACCAAAUCUCAUGCUCAUUAUGGGACCAUAUCUUUUAGCUAUUUUAUGAAGGUCUUGGUGGACAUUUUUGCCAAUCAUAUGGAGAUUUCCUAUAAUUGGAAGCCCUUUUGGGCCAGGGUGGAGUUUUUUCUUCUUUUUCAUGAAUUUAUUGUGUAGUUCUUGAAGAAUGUAUAGCACUGCAAGUAGUGCAAGAACUUGUAGGAAUAUUGAAGCCAUAGAUAUGGAAACUAUUGUGUGUGUUUUUGCUUCCAACACACAAUAAUUAUAAAGACGUCAGGAGUGGUGGCAGUGAAAUAUGGCCUCGAGUUCAAAAUAUCAACCAAAUUAAUGUUGUGGUCCAUCUUAUUUUUUAGCAAAAUUGACCAAUUGUGAAUAGUUUAUAGACGCAUUUACCUCUUUUCUUGCUCCUUCCGUUUCAUUUUGUUUUUGUUUGGGCACUUUACUAAACAAAAAGGAUAGAGGAAGAAAAAACAUGAAGGAAAAAAAUAAAAGAUCAUUCGGUGUAUUAAAAUUUUUAAUAUGCAUGGGAUUUGGAGAAUGAUCCGACCAUAAAAAUUUAUUGUACACAACUUUACCUUGCAUUUCUGUCAAAAAUUGUUUUUAAGAGUUAAACCCGUGAAUUCCUGAUCACGUGACAGCAACUUUACCAAUUACUCCAAGACUUUCUUUAAAAAAAUUAAGAAAAAGGAGAGAUAUUUCUUUUUAGAAAAGAAGAUAAUAAUAAAAGGAAUGAAUGGUGAAAGAAAAGAUUGGACAACGUGUUGGUUGAAGCUUAAUUGGUAUGUGGGGAAAAGUUUUUUUUACUUUCUCAUUUGCUAUUCGAUAUCUCCUUUGUGAAUCCUUCAUUAAGUUGUGCUAUUACAUUAUCUUUAUAAAAAUUAUGGGCACUUUGUUACAUUUCAAAUCACAUCUUUCUCAAAUGAGAUGUAUCAUAGACCUCAACUAUACACAUUCUGGGCUAGUUUCAUGAAUAGCUAUUAUUAUCUUAGCAUGAUUCGAUGAAGUAUCUACCAGACUGCUUUGUUUAUCUCCACGAUAUGACAGUAUCCCCACAUGUAAACACAUAGGUUAUUUGAGAUCAAGCUUUAUACAGGUCAGAUAAGUACCCAAUAUCAGCAUAACCAACAAGAUCGAGACUGCAAGUUUUAGAAUAAAAUAAGAUUAUGUGUUUAUCUUAUUUCGGUGUCUCCUAAUAGGAGCAAAACUAUAUCUUGCUAAAAUUUUAACUGAAAAGGUAUAUCAUGCCUUGUAGUAAUUGCAAGAUACAUCAGUACACUAAUUGGACUAAGAUAUGGUACUUCAGGACCAAUCCAAUUCGGUAUGUUUCGCAUUUCAGCAAAUAAUCUUAUUGUUUUUGAAAACUCUUCAAGAGUUCCAAUGAUAUUCAAAUCAUCAAAUUAUCUCUUAUAUGCUUCAGACAUUUUGAAUUCUUUAGGGAUUUUCAUAUGGAUUUUUGUCAAGUAACAAUAUCCAACUUGUCAAGUGUGACAUCUUCAAGUGUCUGGAAUGCAAAUCAAAUAAGUUUUAUGCUUACCAAAAUGCAUUCUUUCAGGUCACUUAAUGAAUGUUUCUUCGUCAAUAUGCUUAAAUAAACGUAGAAUUCAGAUUCUCAUAACCUCUUACAAUAUUGUAUCAAAGACAUCAUCGAUGAUAUAUCAUUUUAUAUCGGUUUAUAUUGUGACAUAAUAUUUUGUGAUCUUAUCACUUCAUUAUUUUCAGGUACCUGAACCUCUCAUAAGGUUUCAUGAAGUGUUAUGUCGUAGGCUCUUCAAGAGCACAUUGUCUUCUUAUUAUGAUUACUUGUUCCUUAUUUUUCAAGGAUCAUUUUAUUUGAAACCGAUUGGUCUACCACGCUUCACGCAUGCAUAGACUUUAUCCUUCAUGGACACAAAAUAGGAGCACUUGUGGCUUUAAUAUGAGAUACUUUUGACAUUUGACUUAAAUUAUCUUUUGAAUGAGGAUCGGAUGAUAAUUCCUAACAUAUUUCAUAGCCACUUAUAAUCUCCUCCUUAUGUUAGGAAAACUAACAUACAUCCUCUAUUUUUUUGAGGAAUCCAUCUUUGUGCAUCAAGAUAUAUUCAUUAAUCGUAUACUGCACAUCAAAACUAUUAUAUGAAAUAGCUGGUUCCUUACCUUGAACCAAUUGAGAGGGAAGAAAUAAUCAUAAUUUAUUGGUCUAAUGCAUACAAGUGCUAUUGUAUGCAACACAUCAUAUUUUAGACCAACACAUGAAGAUUUGUUCUCAUUAGCAAUGGUUUAACUAUUUCUCAAAAGCAUUCAAUGCCAAACCAUCAUCAUCAAGUUGAAUUAUGCAUCUUUUCAAGAUAUCACAUGAUAGGUGAACGGGCUCAUAUUCACCUUUUAUACUUUUCAGAUUUCAAGGGAUCCAAUCUCAAUAUUAGUUGGUCCAACCAACUUAUCAUGAGAACAAACGACAUUAAAAGUAAUGAAGAAUUUUGUAAUUCUUCAAUAUAUGUUAAAUACUCAGUAUGCACAUCUUUGAGAUGUCCCAAUCGUUCAUAUCAAUUUGAUGAACUUUUAUUCUAGCAAACUCUAAGUUUACCAUGACAUUUAUCUUUUACUUUAGUAAAUUCCAAAUUUACUAUUACAUGAAUAAAUUUUAAAUUUACUACUUUAGAAGUAGAUUUCAAAAUAACUCUUAUUAGUUAUUCUGCCUCUUUCGGAGGUGAGUUGUGAUACCAUCACAAUCAAGUGCACGUUUGCAUUAAUAAGCUUCUCAUUCCCUAGGAAUGGAAUAUAAUCAUGCCUUAAGCCUAUCAAAUUCUGAUAGCUUAGAACCUCUUUCAAGAUCGAGGCAUGCAAGCAUGUGAAAAUAUUAUUAUUGUCUUUUUUUCACGUUUAUGUGCAUUCAUUCAACCACUUGUCUUUUUUCCGACAAGUUAUGUACUGCUACCACAUUCACUUCAGGAAUGGAGUAUAUUCAAUGGGACAUGUUUUAUGACUUUUCAUGAAAUACAUAUUAUUUUGCCUUAACUAUCAUAAUAUCAUCAAUAUGGUACAUUGAGAUUCAAACUCAAUGUCUUAUUCAAAUAAAGACGUCUUAGGUAUAAAUUGAUGGGACUUGAACCCAAAAUUUUAUCAUCUUGAUACAUCGAGACUCUAACCCAAUGUCGAUGAAAUUAAUUCACCGCCUUAUUCUAAAUGACAAAAUAUGUUAACUUGUACCACAAAAUUCACCAAUAAACCAAAUUAAUAACAAAUCUAUUUUCAAUAUUUUUAUACAGUAACAAAGCAUAUCCAGUGAUGGGUUGGUAGGGAAUCUGCAAUUCAUUGACAUGAUUAAACCAUAAAUCAUGAGGAGGAUGAAUCGAGCGUAUAACAAAAAGGUCCGUCCCAAGAAUUUUAAAGUUGGUCAGUUGGUAUUGAAACGUAUCCUUCCUCACCAGGUUGAAGCGAAAGGCAAGUUCUCCCCUAACUGGCAAGGUUCCUUCGUUAUGAAGAAAGUGUUGCCCAAUGGAGCCUUAUAUUUGACAGUUAUUGAAGGCAAAAUGGCAGAAAUGGCUAUCAAUACUGAUGCGGUCAAAAGAUAUUAUGUAUGAUAUUUUAUCCUUUGUUGAUUUUAUUNNNNNNNNNNNNNNNNNNNNNNNNNNNNNNNNNNNNNNNNNNNNNNNNNNAUCCAAACAUUGUGUCAUCCUUUGUUUACCCGUUUGAGCUUCGUUUUAUUUUUUUCUUUCAUAUCCCUCUUUUGGAAUCAAAAUAGAGUCAAAGAUAAUGUCAAGAAAAUAAGAAUAAAAGAAAGAGUUCAAAAAAAAAAUCAAAACAAAGAACAAGCUUAUGGAACUACGUGCGAUCUGAUUCUCCUCUCUCGGGAGUAAGAUACGUAGGCAGCCCAAUUUCGGGCUCGGUCCAACCAAAUAAAGAUUUUAGAGUCACCCAGUCAACAAAAACUGGGGCAUGGGUUAAUAUGUUGUUUGAGUCGAUUCCAAAAGUUGUAAGUCCCACCCCCACUUCAAGUAUCGUUUGAACCUCUUGCCAUCCUUUUCUAACCUUAUCCAAAAGCUAAGCUACAACCAAAGAAAGUCCUUCAGAUCACUUUUUGAUAAUGUUAAGGCUAAGCAUGCAAUGGAUAUGUUGAUAUAUUAUGAGGUACCACUUGUCUCCCUCAGCAUAAGAAAUCAGGNNNNNNNNNNNNNNNNNNNNNNNNNNNNNNNNNNNNNNNNNNNNNNNNNNNNNNNNNNNNNNNNNNNNNNNNNNNNNNNNNNNNNNNNNNNNNNNNNNNNNNNNNNNNNNNNNNNNNNNNNNNNNNNNNNNNNNNNNNNNNNNNNNNNNNNNNNNNNNNNNNNNNNNNNNNNNNNNNNNNNNNNNNNNNNNNNNNNNNNNNNNNNNNNNNNNNNNNNNNNNNNNAAAGUGAAAAGUGAAAAGAAAGAGAUUUGUUUGCGAAAGUCUUUUAAGAUGUCGUCAAUUGAAUGUGAUGUAUGAGUCCAAUGGAUUUGAAGAAGCGGCUCAGCGGCAAAGGCACGAACUCAACAACAAAUGGGGAGUUUGGAUAGAAAGAUCAGGCAGCUUAAUCCAAAAUGCAUAUCAUACUCAUUGGAGUUGUUUGUCGUAUUCAGAUAAAUUUUCUUUUUGAAUAUGGGACAUUGCCCUUUUCUUUCAUUUACAUAUUCAUUCUUUUUGUCUUUUUAUGUCAUUUAUCAAAUAAAAGUCACCAUCAUUUCUUUAUAUUUAAGUCUAGUCUGUGUCAAAACAAGAGAGAAAGGAUUUCAAAUUUACUACUAGUUUUUCCAAUUAUAUGAGGAAAAGCCAAGGACCAGCACAUGAAAGAAAUAUGAUCGUAAUUCAACACGAAGCAAAGGAAUUCUAUCAACCGACAGGCUGUUGGACUCGUGGAAGCAUUCAGAUUUGGGAAAAGAGUGUACCUCAGAGACAUGGUAAAAUGAAAACCCUUUGUUCGAGUCAGAACUCAUUUCCCUCAAUCUGAAUCCGGGUCAAUGAUGUGGCAAGAUAGGGCAAGUGUCAACGAUUUGGAACAAAGAUGAAAGGAACGAGUGCUGGGGCAGAUACCUGAGAAGCCAAGAGCUGCAAGCCACCACUAAGUUUUUAACUGACAAAUUUUCUUUGUUUAAAUAGGGGCAAAUUCGCUUCACUUAAUUCAGCUACCAUUGGAAAUGCACAUCCGUGGGAUUUUACUUUCUGCUAAGGACCCUCCUGAAAAAUGAGAAUUUUACUUUUUGUUCAGCAUCCUCCUGAAAAAUGGAACUUUACUUUCAGUUCAGGACCCUCCUGAAAAAUGGGAAUUUUACUUUCAGUUCAGGACUCUCCAGAAAAAUGGGAAUUUUACUUUAUGUUCAGGACCCUCCUGAAAAAUGAGAUUUUACCUUAUGUUUAGGACCCUCCUGAAAAAUGGGGUUCUAUUUUAUGCUCAGGACCCUCCUGAAAAAUGGGACUUUACUUUCAAUUCAGGACCCUCCUGAAAAAUGAGAUUUUACUUUUUGUUCAGGACCCUCCUGAAAAAUGAGACUUUACUUUCUGUAUGGGCAUUUACUUUCUGUUCAGGACCCUCCUGAAAAAUGAGAUUUUACUUUCUGCUCAGGACCCUCCUGAAAAUGGGAUUUUACUUUCUGUUCAGGACCCUCCUGAAAAAUGGGAUUUUACGUUCUGCUCAGGACCCUCCUGAAAAUGGGAUUUUACUUUCUGUUCAGGACCCUCCUGAAAAAUGGGAUUUUACCGUUUAUUCAGGACCCUCCUGAAAAAUGGGAUUCCACUUUCUGUUUAGGUCCCUCCUGAAAAAUGGGACUCUACUUUCUGUUCAGGAUCCUCCUGAAAAAUAGGAUUUUACUUUAUGUUCAGGACCCUCCUGAAAAAUGGGAUUUUACUUUCUGUUCAGGACCCUCCUAAAAAAUGGGACUUUACCUUCUAUUCAGGACCCUCCUGAAAAAUGGGAUUNNNNNNNNNNNNNNNNNNNNNNNNNNNNNNNNNNNNNNNNNNNNNNNNNNNNNNNNNNNNNNNNNNNNNNNNNNNNNNNNNNNNNNNNNNNNNNNNNNNNNNNNNNNNNNNNNNNNNNNNNNNNNNNNNNNNNNNNNNNNNNNNNNNNNNNNNNNNNNNNNNNNNNNNNNNNNNNNNNNNNNNNNNNNNNNNNNNNNNNNNNNNNNNNNNNNNNNNNNNNNNNNNNNNNNNNNNNNNNNNNNNNNNNNNNNNNNNNNNNNNNNNNNNNNNNNNNNNNNNNNNNNNNNNNNNNNNNNNNNNNNNNNNNNNNNNNNNNNNNNNNNNNNNNNNNNNNNNNNNNNNNNNNNNNNNNNNNNNNNNNNNNNNNNNNNNNNNNNNNNNNNNNNNNNNNNNNCCCGCCUGAAGAAUAGGGUGAUGAAACUGGAGUCAAGAACCAACAAAAGCUGUAUGGAUAGGAUCAUGACACGUGGCACGCUGUUAGUUAGGAGGGCCUAUAUGUACCAAAUCAUUAACGGCAGGGGUAUAUUUGUACCCAAAGUAUGGCGGAGGAUAUAUAUGUACCAUUUAUCAAAGUUCAGGGGUAUAUUUGUACCUUUUUCGUAUAAAAAUGGGUAAAUGGCUAGGAUCGUGACACGUGGCACGUCGUUAGUUAGGAGGGUAUAUUUGUACUAAAUCAUUAAUGGCAGGGAUAUAUUUGUACUGAAAGUAUGACGAAGGGUAUAUAUGUACCAUUUAUCAAAGUUCAGGGUAUAUAUGUACCUUUUCCGUAUUCCAUAUUGUUGUCCUAUAAAUAGAGGCAUUAUGAGUUCUUUCUCCUCUAUCAUCAAAAUUAAGAUUAUUUCUUUCAUUGUAUAUUGCUUAGAAUUUUCAUUGUUUGGACUUCCACAUAUUUUUUAUCAAAAAUUAAAUAAAAAUCAUUUGCUACCUUCUAAAAUAUCACAUAAUUGAGAUUGUGACAACACAUCGGAGGAAAGAAGGGUUAAAGAGAACUGAGUGAUGAUGCAAUUUCAAGCAGAUGUGAAAGUGGUGAAGAUUGAAGAAGAGAUGUUGGACAUGACCGAUACAUUAGCAUAUUUGGUCGUUGUCAUUCUUUAUGGUGUUUAGCUUCUGUAGACACGUAAUUUUGUCCCUCCGAAAGAUAUUUUUUGCCUAUUUACCUUAUUCUACCGUGUAUCCUUAUCCGUAUGAUAAUCCCUCUGCAAAAAGACAAAAAUAACAAACCAACAACCUACCCUAUCAAAUGGCAACACCUCACCACCCCUCCAUUUCUUGUCCACAAAGGCAAAAAGGAUAAACAUACAUUAAAAAGGGGGUCCCACGAAGGAACCUUUCAGGAAGGUGCCAAGAACCCUUUUGUUUUUAUUUUUUUACAUAUACAGAUUCACACCUCAUAUACAGAUAUAUACAAACCCACAUCAUCAUCUCCAUUUUCUCUUCUACACAAUACACCAUUAACUUCACCAUUAACGGACACCUUCCUCACCAUUCCAACAGCUCACGUUUUUUUUCUGAGAACACAAAACACAUACAUAGAGAAUAUACAGAGAAGGGAUCAUAAAACAGAGGGAUUCCAUUUUUCUUUCUCCUUUUUCUCACCCACAAUAACUUUGACACCAUCACAGGCAUACAAAUUCGCCAAUAGACACACAUACGUCUUCUUCCAAUUCUUUGGUUCUUCCAGAAACGCACGCAAGAACCAAAAACCAUACCCAUACUUCACUGAAUACGCACAUAACACAGUUUCUUCUUCGCACACGAUUAACGCACAAAUCACAAACACCACACAUAGUGAAGGGCGAAUGAUAGAGAGACAAUAGUGAGUAGGAGAGGGUUCUGAACAGUGAGAGAUAUGAGAGAUAGAGAGGAAGACGAACAAGGGUCGAAUCGGUAAAGCUAAACAGAAAUCGAUAGGAAUCUGGUGGGUUUGAGUUGGCCGGCGAUCUCUUCGCCAGAGUUGAAUGUUUCUGAUCUUUUUCAGGCGAUUCCGUUUAAAAAACAUUAUAAUUCGCCGAAAAUCCAAUCCUUUUCCGACUAUUCGUGCUACUGUCUGCAUUCACGGAGUUCCAGCAACUAGAUUUUUUUCAGGUUUUCUCAUAUUUUUGGGCUCGAAUAUUCACACGCAUUUUUGGACUUCUGUUAGAGUCAGGUUUUGGGGGUCAUCGUGGUUCGAACUGGUUUUAUUCGAUUCGGGAGUUUGAGUUCGAGGUCUGUCAAUCGUGGUUCAUUGGUCUCGGGUCUUCUGUUAGUUCAAGUUGGUCGAAUAAAAGCCCUAAUUUAAGGUCAUCUCCUCAUCUUAUUCUUAUUCUUAGUUCAUUUUUAUUAUGAUGAAUGUCGAAUAUUAUUGAUUGUGGAUUGCUGAAAUAUUAUUGUAAAUUGAUAGUUGAAGUAUGUGUUAAUCAUGUGAUUGAGUAUGAAAUUGGGGGUGGGAGUUGCAAGGUUGAUAAGAUGAAUUUGGAUUACCUUUGAGUUUAUUGUUGUUAUGUUUCGUUCGGAAUAAAUAUCAAGUUAUAAAUCCGAUAGCAUCAUGUUUAGGCCGACAAUGGAUAGGCAAAAGUAGGUUGGGUAGGCAAAGUUUAGGAUCUGUGAUUGUUGAAAUGAUGAAAUGUUUGUGGAGUGGUUUCAAUUUAUGCAUUGGGAUCUAUUGUAUUCAUUGGGUCGGGGAAUGCCCCGAGGGAUUUGUAUUAAUUCACCGGGGAAUGCCCCGACGUAUUAUGUAUUCGGAGGACGUCCGUGAUGAAGGUCCGAAGCAUCGGGUAAGGCAUUGGAUCGUAGUUUAGGAUCAGUGUAGGUUAGCAUAGGUUUAUUUUUCAGUACCUUUUUUUUCAUUUUGGGUUGUAAUAAUUGGACUGGACAUUAUUAUUUUGGUUUUUGGAUUGUUGUUUGAUGUUUGUUUAUGUUCUUUGUGUGGUUUAUACAUUUGUGGUGUCUAAUUAGCCGAUACUUUCCACCAAGUGACCGUGGUCGAACCAUGGGACCGAGGGGGGCGUAACACCUUUCCCUCGGUCAACAGAAUUCCUUAGUCGGAAUCUCUGUUCGCGGAUCAGUUUUACAGAGUCAAAAUCCUUUUGAAAAGGGUUUUCCAAAGGUGACUUGGCACACCGGAUUAUGCCAAGUGGCGACUCUGAGUUUUGAAUAUAAAUAAUUCUUUUCGAAACAAAUUUUUAUUUUUUGUCACUUUGAUAGUAAAAAACCCUUUCAAACUGUAAAAUCGAAUCCAUUUGGAGUACGAAAAAGGGGUGUGACAACUUCCAGCUUGAAUAUUGUAGAUUUCUUCAUAGUUUUUGGUGUCCUAUUGCUUUUCAUGUUGUGAUCUUCCUAUUCACUUUCUAUUGGUGUCUAAUUCAUUUAUUUUGAGUUGCGGAAUUUGUUUAUGACCACAAUGACAUCAUAUUGUAAAUAUAUGUCUUACAAUCUAAAUGAAGGAUUUAUAUCAGACAAUGUAUGAGAAAUCUUUCCAUUACAUUAUUUUUAGUAUUAUAGAAUUGCUUUUUAAUUAUUGAAGUGCUUCUAAGCCAAAAAAACUUUUAAACACUUUCACAAUGCAAGUGUGGGUAUAUAAAUAUCAGCUUAAAUAUUUAUUUAUUCGUCAAUUUCAACAAUACGUAAAAUUAAUAUGGAGAUGAGAAUUCUGAAUCUCAUCACAAUAUGACUUGAGUAAAUAUAUAAAGCAUUAUCUAUAAUCUUAAAUCUAAAUCGAUUAGUCAUAUCGAGGAAUUAAAAUUUCUCAGUCACUUAAAAAUGAAUAAAAGAAAAUACAUUUAUUUUCAAAUCUCUUAAUUAUGUGUAAAUAUAUGAUGUACAAAAAUAGUAUCGCUUACUCAGUCACUUAAAAAUGAAUAAAAGAAAAUACAUUUAUUUCCAAAUCUCUUAAUUAUGUAUAAAUAUAUGAUGUACAAAAAUAAUAUCGCUUACAAACAAUAAAAAAAAUAAAAAUAUAAUGAGUCUAAGUUUAUAGUCUUAACUCAAAAUUAAUGCACGUUGCAUCAUGAAUAAUUAUUUAAGUGCUUUUAAAAUCUAAUUAAUGUAAAAGAAACAUUUUAACAUGAAAUAAAUGAUUAAAAAAUAAAGAAAAAAAUUUUAAAAAAAAAUUAAAAUUUAAAUACAAAUCCUAACUUAAGAGAUUUUCCCUAAUAACUAAAUAUUUUCGUACACAAAUCCUAACAUAAGAGGUUUUCGCUAAUAACUAAAUAUUUUCAUAUGUGUAUUGAAGCCUUUCAAAUAUUAUUUUUGUAAUUCCAUUAAUUCCCUUCUCUAUCUGUCCACUUUUUGUGAAUUUAAUAUACAUAGAAUGUGGUAUUCAUUUGAAAAUUUUAAUAUAAUCUUUAAUAUAUAUGUGUGUGUUUUAUUUGGUAUACUUUAGCUUGACUAUUUAUUUAUUUUUCUUUUUAGUUAGUUUCUGUAUUUUUUCUUUCAUAGUUUAGUUUAUUCUAAUAUAAAAAAAUAUUAGUAAAACAAAUUGAUUACUAUCUAAUAAAUGAAGUUUAUGAAAAUGAACUUAGACUCGUUAUGAAGUUUCUGUAUUUUUUAAAAAUAUCUUCUUUUUUUCGUUUAUAAAAAUGAAGUUUCUCCAAAUUCUAUUUUUUUAAUAAAAAUACUUUAUAUUUUUAAUUUCGUCGACAUACAUAAUUAAGUUUUAUAUGUGCAUAUAAAAAUUUAUCUCCGUUCUUAUCUAAAUUUAUAUAAAAAAAAAAAUUGUUAAUAAGUACUUUUAUAACCACGCAAAGCGCGAAUUAUUUUACUAAUUAAUAUAUAUGUACAAACGUAAUUUGUGACCAAGGUGCUUAGCUUUCUAUAAUCUGAAGUCAUGUUUACUACCAAGAAAUUUACCGAGGAAGCAGAAGAAAGCUAUUAAGAAAUAAAUGUAUCGUUUUAUACUUGAAGAACAUGCAUAAAGAAAUAUUGAUCAAUUUUCUCUGAAUCAUUAUAAAGAAAAUGAAUUAAAUAUCUUAGAUUUAAAUAUUCAAAGAGUCUUUCGAAGUUCAAACUAGCUAACACCCUCCACCGUACGUGGCUUCACCACUCACUAAAAUAGUUAGAAAUUCAUAUGUUCUUUUACGGAAAUGAGUCAGACUUGCUUCUGGCCCAACCGAAGCGGCCAAUUAGUUUCUACCCCAAACUCAUAUAACAUAAGUCAUUCCUUCAUAGUGGAUUCCUUUAAAAAAAAAUUAAAAAUAAGUGGGAUUUAUGUUUUGAAUUUGAAACACUAAACAAGGAAAAUACACCACUAUGUCAAUACACCUUGUUACAUGAUUAUUGUGUAUAAAUAUUGCAUGACGUGUAAAGAUUGAACAACAAAGAUACUGUCAUUUGAAGAACACACACAAGACACAAGACAAUGUCCUCUAUUCCCCGAAGUUUAGCUCAUUUUAAUCCCAUCUAAUCGACUCAACCAUAGUCAUUUUUGGUUGGAUCUAGCUUAACUCAGCUUAAUUCAACCUAUUCAUUUGAUAUCCCUAAUAUAUUUUCCAACCGAUGAGUAGGAAUAGCCCUUAGGUGUUGAGCUCUAGCCAUCACUAAACCAAAUUUCUCAGUCAUGUCUAAAUCAUUUGGCUUCAUAUCAUUUGGUAGUUCCCAAUCAAAACAAUGAACCAAUUGCGCUAGCACCAGACGAAGGAUUGUGAGCCCUAAGUGCAAACCAGGGCAACUUCUUCUCCCAGAACCAAAUGGUAAAAGUUGAAAAUCACGUCCACGAAGAUCGAUAUUGCUACCAACAAACCUUUCUGGCAUGAAUUUCUCGGGUUCUGGCCAAAUUUCUGGAUCUCUUCCAAUUGCCCAAGUAUUUACUAGAAUUCUUGAACCUUUAGGUAUAUCAAAGCCAUCAAUUGUGCAAUCUUCAAUGGACUCAUGAGGAGCCAAUAAUGGUGCAAUAGGGUGAAGCCUAAAACCUUCUUUAAUGACCAUGUCUAAGUACACUAAUUUUUCCAAGUCUGAUUCUUCCACCACUCUAUUUA
rnacentral:lncRNA from 1 species